UACGUAGGGGGCAAGCGUUGUCCGGAAUCAUUGGGCGUAAAGCGCGUGUAGGCGGCUCGGUAAGUCCGCUCUGAAAGCCCGGGGCUCAACCCCGGGAGGCGGGUGGAUACUGCUGAGCUCGAGUCCGGAAGAGGAGUGUGGAAUUCCUGGUGUAGCGGUGAAAUGCGCAGAUAUCAGGAGGAACACCAAUGGCGAAGGCAGCACUCUGGGACGGUACUGACGCUAAGACGCGAAAGCGUGGGGAGCAAACAGG
rnacentral:rRNA from 1 species